rnacentral:snoRNA from 14 species
AGAGAUAUGAUGAUGGAAUUAGAUUUCCCUAUUGGUUUGAUCGCCGUUAUGAUGGCAUCUUACGUAUUAGCUCUAUCUGAUCUCU